AUGUCAAGCACACGCAGCUUCCCCACAUCCUCGGAAGCCCACCCAAAAGAGGUAGGCGAAGCAACACCACGUAGGGUACGCCCAUUUCUAUCGGAGACGAGUCACCGCCAGCGACGCCGGCCGUCACUUUCUCCGGCGACAAGUAGUCGCACAGCUCGUCAGUCCUCUGGGAUCUUCUUCGGACAAGCAGCCAGCCAACUGCUACGCGCCAGCAAAAUAACUGGAAAUACUAGUCAUAGACGGGGACGAGCACGAGGACGACGAGCUUCCCUCCUCGCCCGGAUAAGCGCACCGGCCGGCGUCCUCCUGUCCGGUGCGUCUGCGUUUCACACCGGCGGCGACGACUGA
rnacentral:rRNA from 1 species